CUGGCCUUUUGUUAACGAGAUCGAACAUGUUAUAGGUGUAUUUAAUCAAUAAUCUAUAAAAAGAUUUAAGAUCAUUAGACAUAUAGUCAAG